GAUGCAGCACGCCGCGUGAGUGAUGACGGCCUUCGGGUUGUAAAGCUCUGUCUUCAGGGACGAUAAUGACGGUACCUGAGGAGGAAGCCACGGCUAACUACGUGCCAGCAGCCGCGGUAAUACGUAGGUGGCGAGCGUUGUCCGGAUUUACUGGGCGUAAAGGGAGCGUAGGCGGACUUUUAAGUGAGAUGUGAAAUACCCGGGCUCAACUUGGGUGCUGCAUUUCAAACUGGAAGUCUAAAGUGCAGGAGAGGAGAAUGGAAUUCCUAGUGUAACGGUGAAAUGCAUAUAGAUUAGGAAGAACACCAGUGGCGAAGGCGAUUCUCUGGACUGUAACUGA
rnacentral:rRNA from 1 species